rnacentral:rRNA from 1 species
UACGUAGGGUGCAAGCGUUGUCCGGAAUUAUUGGGCGUAAAGAGCUCGUAGGUGGCGGGUCACGUCGGGUGUGAAAGCCCGGGGCUUAACCCCGGGUCUGCAUUCGAUACGGGCUUGCUAGGGUCCGGCAGGGGAGACUGGAAUUCCUGGUGUAGCGGUGAAAUGCGCAGAUAUCAGGAGGAACACCGGUGGCGAAGGCGGGUCUCUGGGCCGGUACCGACGCUGAGGUGCGAAAGCGUGGGGAGCAAACAGG